rnacentral:rRNA from 1 species
GACGAACGCUGGCGGCGUGCUUAACACAUGCAAGUCGAACGGUGAAGCUCCAGCUUGCUGGAGUGGAUCAGUGGCGAACGGGUGAGUAACACGUGAGCAACCUGCCCCUGACUCUGGAAUAAGCGCUGGAAACGGCGUCUAAUACUGGAUACGAGAAGGGUCCGCAUGGGCACUUUCUGGAAAGUUUUUCGGUUGGGGAUGGGCUCGCGGCCUAUCAGCUUGUUGGUGAGGUAAUGGCUCACCAAGGCGACGACGGGUAGCCGGCCUGAGAGGGCGACCGGCCACACUGGGACAGGGACACGGCCCAGACUCCUACGGGAGGCAGCAGUGGGGAAUAUGCACAAUGGGCGAAAGCCUGAUGCAGCGACGCCGCGUGAGGGAUGACGGCCUUCGGGUUGUAAACCUCUUUCAGCAGGGAAGAAGCGAAAGUGACGGUACCUGCAGAAGAAGCACCGGCUAACUACGUG